GAUGAACGCUGGCGGCGUGCCUAAUACAUGCAAGUCGAGCGAACAGAUGAGGAGCUUGCUCCUCUGACGUUAGCGGCGACGGGUGAGUAACACGUGGAUAACCUACCUAUAAGACUGGGAUAACUUCGGGAAACCGGAGCUAAUACCGGAUAAUAUAUUGAACCGCAUGGUUCAAUAGUGAAAGACGGUUUUGCUGUCACUUAUAGAUGGAUCCGCGCCGCAUUAGCUAGUUGGUAAGGUAACGGCUUACCAAGGCGACGAUGCGUAGCCGACCUGAGAGGGUGAUCGGCCACACUGGAACUGAGACACGGUCCAGACUCCUACGGGAGGCAGCAGUAGGGAAUCUUCCGCAAUGGGCGAAAGCCUGACGGAGCAACGCCGCGUGAGUGAUGAAGGUCUUCGGAUCGUAAAACUCUGUUAUUAGGGAAGAACAAAUGUGUAAGUAACUAUGCACGUCUUGACGGUACCUAAUCAGAAAGCCACGGCUAACUACGUG
rnacentral:rRNA from 1 species